UGAGAGGGUAGAGAUGAGUGAGAGGGUAGAGAUGAGUGAGAGGGUAGAGAUGAGUGAGAGGAGAGAGAUGAGUGAGAGGGUAGAGAUGAGUGAGAGGGUAGAGAUGAGUGAGAGGGUAGAGAUGAGUGAGAGGAUAGAGAUGAGUGAGAGGGUAGAGAUGAAGGACAGGGUAGAGAUGAGUGAGAGGACAGGGUAGAGAUGAGUGAGAGGACAGGGUAGAGAUGAGUGAGAGGACAGGGUAGAGAUGAGUGAGAGGAUAGAGAUGAGUGAGAGGGUAGAGAUGAGUGAGAGGAUAGAGAUGAGUGAGAGGGUAGAGAUGAGUGAGAGGACAGGGUAGAGAUGAGUGAGAGGACAGAGGGUAGAGAUGAGUGAGAGGACAGAGGGUAGAGAUGAGUGAGAGGACAGAGGGUAGAGAUGAGAGAGAGGAUAGAGAUGAGAGAGAGCAUAGAGAUGAGUGAGAGGAUAGAGAUGAGAGAGAGGAUAGAGAUGAGUGAGAGGGGUAGAGAUGAGUGAGAGGGUAGAGAUGAGACAGAGGGUAGAGAUGAGUGAGAGGACAGAGGGUAGAGAUGAGUGAGAGGACAGAGGGUAGAGAUGAGUGAGAGGGUAGAGAUGAGUGAGAUGAAUGAGAAGAGGGAGACGAGGGAGAAGGGUGAAUGAGAGAAAGUAGACUAGAGGGAGGUAAAGUUGUUGCCUGAGGGCAUGUGUCCAGUCUAGCUCCCUCCUCUCCCUCCCCCUGCACAGUCAGUCAGUCAGUUAGACACACAGAGCAAAUAUACUCUCCCAGUCUCCCAGUGGAGUACAGGGGCAUCUCUGUCAGGACAGAGGCUCUGCUUUAUCCGCUCAGAGCAACAGGAAGGCCAGACUGCACCACCCACUAGGACCCACCUCCCACCACCACACAGGGAUACUAUGGAUCCUAACACACUGGUCAAUGGGAGAUGCUGUCCCAAGGGCAGGAGGAGAGCGAAGAAAGAGACAGUCUGGAACAGUGAGUGACUGUUGUAUCUGAGUGACUGGAUGUCUUGAGCUAGGAGGCUCUGCAAAAUAGUUUUUUUCAGAAAGGUCUGUGUGUGAAUAGUUAUUUUUCAGACAAGUCUGUGUGUGAAUAGUUGUUUUUCAGACAAGUCUGUGUGUGAAUAGUUGUUUUUCAGACAAGUCUGUGUGUGAAUAGUUGUUUUUCGGGGAGGUCUGUGUGAAUAGUUGUUUUUCAGGCAGGUCUGUGUGUGCACCUGUACAUCUGUUUAUAUGCUUUUGUGUGUGUGUAGGUCCCUGUGUGUCUGUAUGCAUAUGUCUGUCUCUCUUUGUGUGUGUCAUAUUAGGUGAGAAUUAGCACACAAGUAAGGACCACCCUCAUGAUCCCUCUCUCUCUCUCGAUCUCUCUCUCUCGAUCUCUCUCUCUCUCGAUCCCUCUCUCUCUCGAUCCCUCUCUCUCUCUCGAUCUCUCUUGAUCCCUCUCUCUCUCCCUCUCUCUCUCUCUCGAUCCCUCUCUCUCUCUCUCUCUCUC
ensembl:lncRNA